UACGUAGGGACCAAGCGUUGUUCGGAUUUACUGGGCGUAAAGGGCGCGUAGGCGGCAAUUCAAGUCAGCUGUGAAAUCUCCGGGCUUAACUCGGAACGGUCAGCUGAUACUGCUUUGCUAGAGUGCAGAAGGGGCAAUCGGAAUUCUUGGUGUAGCGGUGAAAUGCGUAGAUAUCGAGAGGAACACCUGCGGCGAAGGCGGGUUGCUGGGCUGACACUGACGCUGAUGCGCGAAAGCUAGGGGAGCGAACGGG
rnacentral:rRNA from 1 species